GGGUGCGAUCAUACCAGCACUAAUGCACCGGAUCCCAUCAGAACUCCGAAGUUAAACGUACUUGGGCGAGAGUAGUACUAAGAUGGGUGACCUCUUGGGAAGUCCUCGUGUUGCACCCC
rfam:Ricinus communis cultivar Hale ctg_1100012355279, whole genome shotgun sequence.